rnacentral:lncRNA from 1 species
GCCGGGGCGUCCCCCGCGGGAGCCCGCAGCCACCCGGGACGCGCAUCCAGACGUGGCGCUUCGGACCGGGCACGCUGCGCCCGGGGGCUCGGCGGACCCCGCGUAGCCGCCGCUUCGGAGCUUGUGCGGCGCGGGCUGGCCAGCGGGGCGGCCAGGGCCCGGCCCGCCUCCCCAGCGCCCGCCCGGCUUCUCCCCCUGGCGGUGGGAGCCUCGGCGGCCGCUGGCGACACUAGGCGCACUGAAGCCCGAGCCGAGCCGAGCCCGAGCCGCCGCCGCCGCCGCCGCUGCUGCGCACCGCUCCCGGGCUCCCUCCCAGCGCGCCGGCCGGGGUGUGGGGGGCGGCGGGCCGGAGGGGCGAGGGCGGGCCAGGGGGCGCACACGGGGGUUGGCGCGGAAGACAGGACCCUCAGCCUCGAGGGAGCCCCUAGGUGACCAGGCAAAAUGGCAGUUCCUUCCAGCUGGUCCUCAGAUGGGCACAUCUAUUAGCCUCUGCUCUUGUAAGAAGUUAGCUGCAGAACCCACAUGUGAAUCCUUGUAGUGCUUUAUCAAAUUUCUACUAUGAACUAAGAACUGAGUGCUAUGGGAGACACAAAGGAGAGUCAGGACUCUGGAGAAGAUCAAAUGGGAGCUUAGAUGUGGAAGCUCUUUGGAAACCAAGAAACACUCUGAAAAUGAAAAGGCAUAAGAAUGUUUAUCACAGCAUGGCAUAUAUUGGAAGUUUAGUAAAUGAAGAUACAUCCAAUCUGACAUUCUAUUCACAACCACAAAGAGAUAAUGUAGAAACAUAUUUAGUAAUGUGAGAAAAUACUAAAUAUUAAGUGAAAAAGGUGGAAGAGUAAACUGUUCCUGUUUCUCCAUCUUGACAGGAAGCAGAAGUUCUCCUUAGCUGAUUUUUCUUCUUGCCUUAUACUGGGUUCUUUAACACCAGAACAAAAAUAAAUAAAUAAAAGAAUCUUCCAGAAAUUCAUGAAGAGACUUCAGGUCAGGAAAGCCUGAACUUUCUCAUCCAACACCCGUUCAAGUCGGAGGAUGCUGAUUAAUUCAUGAUGGAAAGGUAUCAAUUUCACAGCCCAGACCUCUACAUUCUUGAAAUGCUCUUCUCAUGGGAGACAUUAAAUAAGCUUUGAAUUAACUAAAAAUAUCCAACCCGAGCAGGAUAAAACUGAUCAUCCUGAGGAUAUUGCCCUUGGAGUUAAUUUUUUGAGAGAAAUAAAACAAUAAACAUCAUAAGACACAAACCCCAAGCAACUGAUCUCACUGUUAAAAUCCAACCUGAGAACAAUGGAAUGGACCAUACUGUCUUUGUCACAACUCUGCCAUUGCAGCGUGAAAGCAUCCAUAGACGGUACACAAAUGCAUGGAUGUAGUUGUACUCCAGUACAACUGCAAAAAGCAGACAGCUGGCUGGGUUUAGCCUACGGGCCAUAGUUUACACAACUCAAUCUAGGUGAUUGCCUGGUAACUUUGUGAUUGUAAACAGGAAA